rnacentral:rRNA from 1 species
UAGUAGUCAUAUGCUUGUCUCAAAGAUUAAGCCAUGCAUGUCUAAGUAUAAGCAAUUAUACCGCGAAACUGCGAAUGGCUCAUUAAAUCAGUUAUCGUUUAUUUGAUAGUACCUUACUACUUGGAUAACCGUGGUAAUUCUAGAGCUAAUACAUGCUAAAAACCCCAACUCACGAAGGGGUGUAUUUAUUAGAUUAAAAACCAAUGCCCUUCGGGGCUUCUUGGUGAUUCAUAAUAACUUCUCGAAUCGCAUGGCCUUGCGCCGGCGAUGGUUCAUUCAAAUUUCUGCCCUAUCAACUUUCGAUGGCAGGGUCUUGGCCUGCCAUGGUUACAACGGGAAACGGGGAAU